GGGUCGGGUCGCGUGAGGGUAAGGGUAAAACGACAUCGUUUCGAUGUCAAUGUACACUGGCGCAAAACGGCGCCGUUUCAUGCACUCAUAUAACCCACGUUUUUUUUUUCAAAAUUUCAUUCCUGCCUAAAAAAAAUAAAAAAAACUAAAAGAAACUCUCUCUCUCUCUCACAACCCCCCCAAAAAGUCCAGUUUAGGUUUCUGGCCAUGAGCCGCCGAAGCACCGCCGUGGCCGGUGGCCGGAGUUGCGCAAGAGGGUGUUUCAGCCCCUGUUUUACGGAGCGCUCGAAUGCCAAGCCUUCUUAUCCCAAGAAAACCCGAAAAAAAGAUUCCUCACACCCGUUUUAGCCCGAUUCUAGCGACAAAGGAGGGGCUUCCGGCGACGGGGCUUGUGGUGAUUCAGGCAACAGUGCGCGUGGAGGAGGCUACGGUGACAGUAGCAGUAGGCAUGUCAGAGGCAUGCGGGCAUGGCAGAGGGUGGACCUAGGUGCGGCGCACCUAAGAUUUUUUUUGCUGAAAACUUGUUAAGUUUUGUGGGCUUGUUGGGCUAGGGCUUAAUUGUAUUUGGGCUGUUUGGGCCUGUUGUAUUUGGGACUUUGUUUAUUGUUUGUUUUCUUAGCGGGCCGGGCAAAAAAUUAGCUAUUACAAAGGACUUGAUCAUAUCAACAAUAAACUAUUAAGGAUAAAAAUGGCAAUCAACCCAUAAAGUGAAAUAAAAUUGAGUGCCCCAAUCCUUGUUUCAAA